rnacentral:rRNA from 1 species
UACAGAGGGUGCAAGCGUUAAUCGGAAUUACUGGGCGUAAAGCGUGCGCAGACGGUUGCGUAAGUCAGAUGUGAAAUCCCCGGGCUCAACCUGGAACUGCAUUUGUGACUGCAUCGCUAGGAGUACGGCAGAGGGGGAUGGAAUUCCGCGUGUAAGCAGUGAAAUGCGUAGAUAUGCGGAGGAACACCGAUGGCGAAGGCAAUCCCCUGGGCCUGUACUGACGCUCAUGCACGAAAGCGUGGGGAGCAAACAGG